GACGAACGCUGGCGGCGUGCCUAAUACAUGCAAGUUGAGCGCUGAAGGUUGGUACUUGUACCAACUGGAUGAGCAGCGAACGGGUGAGUAACGCGUGGGGAAUCUGCCUUUGAGCGGGGGACAACAUUUGGAAACGAAUGCUAAUACCGCAUAAAAACUUUAAACACAAGUUUUAAGUUUGAAAGAUGCAAUUGCAUCACUCAAAGAUGAUCCCGCGUUGUAUUAGCUAGUUGGUGAGGUAAAGGCUCACCAAGGCGAUGAUACAUAGCCGACCUGAGGGGGUGAUCGGCCACAUUGGGACUGAGACACGGCCCAAACUCCUACGGGAGGCAGCAGUAGGGAAUCUUCGGCAAUGGACGAAAGUCUGACCGAGCAACGCCGCGGGAGUGAAGAAGGGUGUCGGAUCGGGAAACUCUGUUGGUAGAGAAGAACGUUGGUGAGAGUGGAAAGCUCAUAAAGUGACGGUAACUACCCAGAAAGGGACGGCUAACUACGUG
rnacentral:rRNA from 1 species